CAGUAGCCGCGGUAAUACAGAGGGUGCAAGCGUUAAUCGGAAUUACUGGGCGUAAAGCGCGCGUAGGUGGUUUGUUAAGUUGGAUGUGAAAUCCCCGGGCUCAACCUGGGAACUGCAUCCAAAACUGGCAAGCUAGAGUAUGGUAGAGGGUGGUGGAAUUUCCUGUGUAGCGGUGAAAUGCGUAGAUAUAGGAAGGAACACCAGUGGCGAAGGCGACCACCUGGACUGAUACUGACACUGAGGUGCGAAAGCGUGGGGAGCAAACAGGAUUAGAGACCCCAGUAGUCCCUGUCUCUUAUAC
rnacentral:rRNA from 1 species